GGCGCGCAGGGCGGAGCGAGCCUGUAAACCGCGGGCGGAAGAGGUGGAGCUGGGACGGCUCGGUGGCCCCCGGGAGGCUCGCGGAGCCAGGGGGUGGUGUCGCAGGGGUUGGUACCUACAAGCGUAACUGAAACGAGAGAUAGGAGAAACAAGAAAGUUCAAAGAUGUUACGAACAGACUUGGCAUUGGGGAUUGUCUAGCAUCCUGUGCUGAUUUCUGAGAAGAGCCAUAAAUUACUGCAAUUUGUCAGGAAAUGUUGAUAUGAACAUGGGAAACUUAACCUGGAAGUUAUAAAAUAUUCCGUGCUGAAUUUUGUAAGAAAAGGGACCUUCAUGUGGUAUCUUGAGGCAAUUUACCAGAAAUGCUUACAUAGGAGAGUCUUUAUUGCCAACCUGGCUUCUCCUCACCUAGGAUACUUUGCAGCUCCUGGCGACUCCAGGCACCCCAGGGACCAUGCAUGUGAGGCUUUAUUCACUUCUCAUGAAGGGAGACUGCCAGAAGUCACAUAAGCAAAGAGUGAAGAGUUGGGAGCCGGGAAGCCGGGGAAACAUGAAUCACAACACCCAGAGUUGGGACUUAAGAACACUCCUGUGAGUCACAUCAACUUUUUUAACAUCCAAAUUUAGGGCUAUGGAAAUAAAAUAUUUGGUUAAUUAAAAACCCAAAUCAAAGCCUCAGUACCAUUUUCUUUUUUUUGCUAAAUGACUACAUUUAAAGAAGAUUGAUAAUAUACAAAAGAACCAGCAUGAAGAUUAUAAUAAAAAUGGAAAAGAAUAGGACAAAAUGGAGAUAGAGAAUAUAUCUUAAAAGAAGUUAUACAGGGUAACAGAAUAAGAAUUUACUCAAAAAGAAAACUUCUCUUCAACUUACAAAAAUCAAUAUUCUUUCUUUCUUUUCUUUCUUCCUUCCCCUUUCUUUUUUUCUUUCUUUUUCUUUCUUUCUUUCUUUCUUUCUUUCUUUCUUUCUUUCUUUCUUUCUUUCUUUCUUUCUCUUUCUUUCUUUCUUUCUUUCUUUCUUUCUCUUUCUUUCUUUCUUUCUUUCUUUCUUUCUUUCUUUCUUUCUUUCUUUCUUUCUUUCUUUCCUUUUUCAAUAUUCUCUUUCUAUACUAGCAAAAGCCAACAAGACAAUAAUAGGAUAUAAUAAGCCAUUUGCAAAAGGAAAACAAUUCUGUAUUAUAUAGGAAUUAACCUGGUAAAGAAUGAAAAAGAGAAAAAUCUUAAAACUUGAUUGAAAGACAUAGAAAAUAUCUAAAUAAAUGAAGAUAUGUGUCUGUUUAUCUAUUAUCUAUCUAUUAUCUGUCAUCUAUCAUCUCUAUCUAUCUAUCUAUCUAUCUAUCAUCUAUCUCUAUCAUCUACCUGUCACUUGUCUAUCCAUACCUACAUGCUUAAGAGUAAAUAUAUCAAUUUGUUUUCCAAAUUAGCCUGUAAAUUCAAUGCAUUUCCAACAAAUUGCCUCAAUCAUGGAGCCUACUGAAAGUGCAAAUUUAGGCAGCCAUUUGUAUGAUGUGACUCCCAGUGCAUGCAACACAUCAUAUUCUAAAGUCACCAUUAGAAUAAUUACUAAGAACAAAGAGAAUGUGAAUAGCAACCAGUAAACAUUAAUGAUAAGCUGUUUGUAGCUAAGAAUGAGUCCUCACGAGACAUAGCUUUGCUGACCCUGUGAAGUGUUGAUUCAGUGUUCUCAUUUCCAGGAAUAUUGUUUCUAGUGUCAAAUGGGGUAUGGCUGUAUUUGAUGUAGGAAAUGUGAGGACAUGUGACAGCAGUGGGAAGGGUGCAUGUGGAGAAGCUAAGAAGUAGAGCCAGGAAGAGAAAAAGAGAAACAGAGUUUAUACAAUGAUCUACCAUGUCAAAACUCAUGUGAUGAUGAGAAAAGCUGAAGCUAUGAAGUAGUAAAAAGAAUACACAAUGAAGGAAUGGAUACGCCAGUAGCACAGUAGGAGAUAACUCAGCAAAUUGGAAGCCAGAGGAGAGAUAAGCUGAGAGACAGAAUAAUUGGUUCCUACAUAUUUAUCAGUUCCUGGCUGCUUACUUGUUGAGAGUUGUAGUUCUAGACCUUAUACAGUAAAAUCUUGGUUUGCGAGCAUAAUUCAUUGCAGAAACAUGUUUGUAAUCCAAAGCAUUUGUAUAUCAAAGCGAAUUUCUCCGUAAGAGGUAAUGAAAACUCAGAUGAUUCAUUCCACAACCCAAAAAUAUUCAUCUAAAAAUGAUUAUAGUACUGUAAUAUAAUACAAAAUAAUAAGGAAAAUACAAAGCAUAAAGAAAAAUAAAAAUUAACCUACACUCACCUUUGAAAAUCUUUAUGGUUGAUGUGAGGGAGAUAAGAGAGAGGAGGGUUAUUGUGUAGGACGACUUUCACUAUCACUAACAGAAGGUGACUACAGUACAGUAUUAAUAAAUUCUUGUGAUAUACUGUAUUUAAUGAAGCUGGCAAUAAAGCAGCAGAGGGAAGGGUCUAUAUCUGCAGGCAGCCUGACCUAGAAUGAAGCAAAGCAUUCCUAAGCUUACUCUUGUGUGGAAGAGCAAAGGACUGUCCAUAGAUGCUUUGAAGUGACAAAAAAUACACUAGUGCCAGUUAUGGGCACCUUCCAGUGUCCUGAAAAAUCACUGAUUUCUGCCAAACACCACAGCUUGAGACUGAGCAUCCGAGCAUGGGAGACGAUCACCCAAAAUCACUCUGAGAGAAAGAGAGAGAGGGAGAGAGGAACCAUUGACUCAGAUGUGAUCAUGUGACAGUCAUGUGAUCACAUACUACUUGUAUUGUAAGACAUCCCUUAUUCAUCAAAUUAAAAUUUAUUAGAAAUGUUUGCUCAUCUUGCAGUACACUCGCAGAACAAGUUACUCACAGUCGAAGGUUUUACUGUAUAUUGUUACAAUAAGCUCAGUUUUACUUAAGAUGGCUUGAGUGUCUCUCUUACCCUUUCCUUUUUAAAGAAAUAAUUUUCCUCAGGAUCUCAGCUCAUUAUUAUCAUUGAUUAAUACAAGCCACUUAAACUUUGAUUUUAUGUUAUACUCUUGUACUCCUUUAUAUACUUUCUCCUUCCCUUAUAUUUUAUGUUUUGCACUUAUUUAUUAUUUUCCCAUCUUUUUCCUUACAUUCUCUUCAUCUAAAAUCUUCAUUCCUAUUUCAUAUUUAGUGUCAUGUGCAUGUAUUUUAAUUUUCUUAA